ensembl:ncRNA T09A5.18 ncRNA
GGAUGUGGGUGUGUUUCAAAUUGACUCACUUCUUCUUGCUGUCUCUUUCUGAAUUUCUUCCAUUUCUCACUUUCUGUUCCAUAUUUGGCUUGCGGGGGCUCUUCCGCGAGCCCAUUAGAGAGUACAGGACUUUGAAGAGAUUUAGAGAAAGAGAGAAACAUAGAGAGUAAGAGAUGCAGUAAACAACAACAAAGCAGAAG